rnacentral:ncRNA from 1 species
UAAACAGCUUUGAAGGGUCGGAGUAGGUACUGUUUUACUUUUUAGAGAGCUGAUGGCAGGUGGAAAUCAGUAGGGAAGCAGUAUUCGAAUUACAGCCUGGAGCCAAUUCUUGCGUAGCAAGAACGGUCAUACCGUUAUCAUGUUGAGUGGAAGUUUAUUUAGUGAUAGCUUCAACAAGGGUGGUACCGCGAGAACCUCGUCCCUUUU